AAUAUUGCACAAUGGGCGAAAGCCUGAUGCAGCAACGCCGCGUGAGCGAUGAAGGCCUUUGGGUCGUAAAGCUCUGUCCUUGGGGAAGAAAAAAAUGACGGUACCCUUGGAGGAAGCUCCGGCUAACUACGUGCCAGCAGCCGCGGUAAUACGUAGGGAGCGAGCGUUGUCCGGAAUUACUGGGCGUAAAGGGUGCGUAGGCGGCAUGGCAAGUCAGAUGUGAAAUUCCCGGGCUUAACCCGGGGGGUGCAUUUGAAACUGCCGAGCUUGAGUGCAGGAGAGGAAAGCGGAAUUCCUAGUGUAGCGGUGAAAUGCGUAGAUAUUAGGAGGAACACCAGUGGCGAAGGCGGCUUUCUGGACUGUAACUGACGCUGAGGCACGAAAGCGUGGGGAGCAAAC
rnacentral:rRNA from 1 species